UAUUAUAUUUAGAGAGAUGGUACAGUUGAAAGCACGUGUGUUUCACUUCAGAUUUACCGAUUUUAUCGCAAGGAAAUAAGAAACAACGUUGAUUGUGAUAGCUGAACUACCUAAAAAUCCCAUUCCUAUACCUAAUUUAUGUAACUAUGAGCUUCCGGAUAUUCAAGGGUCGUAUAAACCGGAAUAAUCUUUGUCCUUUAUUUGUACCAGUUGGAUUUUGAUUGACAACAAUUGACACGUGCUGAAGACAACAAGAUCUUCGCCCGACUACUGUCAUCAUAGAAUACGAGUGGGUGGCAGGUCGUCCAUCUGAAAUUUUUCAGACCGGGAGCUACAGACCUACAGCUACAUCUAGAUGAGAUGGUCAAAAGAGACAAGAAUAAAGAAAUUGGACAUGGCUAGCAAAGAUGGAAUAAAGGGUGAAGCAGAACUGCCAAAUUAAUCAAGGGAUUCGUUCAUUAUUGCACAGAUAAUCGUCUGUUGAAUAAAAAACAGACUACGGAGAGACAGAGUACCCCUUCCACCCUUCUCAAAAGCUACUAAUUAUGAUUAAUGGAAAGGGGGACGGAAAAAGGCAAUGACUUCCUCACCUUCAUCAGACAGUCUGAUGUAAACAGAGCAAUGAUGUACUCCGAUGUGACACGAAAGAAGAAAUAAAUGUUCUACUGCACUCUCUGUAAUAUCAGGAACUAUUGCUGAUAUGUUCAACUUUUAAAAGAAUAUAGGGUGCGUCUAAGCAUGGGAACAACUUUGUAGAAGAAGUUUACUAAAAAGAUUGAUUGACUUCAAUCAAUAAAGUCUACGUAGUAUUUUCAAAUACUGUACCUUGAAGUAAAGGUUUUAAAAAAUUGUGUUCUUGAAUAUUGAAGGGCAUAACUAUGUAUACACAUGUAUAGUUAUAAAAAGAAAUAUCAUACGUCGUAAUGACAAAGAGGAUUUUUGUGUGUUUUUUUUGGUUACACAAUUAAAAUAAAUACCGCUUCCGCAUGUCAAGGCGUUUUCAUAUCACAAAAAUAUUGUUUUUCUUGAAUGAGUUCUCUCUCUAUCUCUUCUCUCUCUCUCUCUCUCUGAUAAUUUGAAUUGUCUUUUUGUAGAUUAAAAGUGAAUUUUAGAAUUCUUAUAGCAUCGCAAUAAAUUAACUUCCUCUUAAUGACCAAAGGAGCCCAUGUGAGAAAAGGAUAUAUGAGACGCCUUUUGAACAUCAGACAAAUUCUUUUGUCCCCGGGGCUCGUUUAGAAAGAAAAAGACUA